UUUGCAGAAGGAAGACCAGUUCUAUGAGACUGAUCCUAUCCUCAAGAAAGUAGAGGAGAAGAGUGGUGGUGGUACCACCAAUGGCCGCAAGAACUCCGUGUCAAUCCCACAGAAGAAGAAGGGUAAUGGUGGAGGCUUCGGUGGAUUUGGUGGGCUGUUCGCCAAGAAAUGAAAUAUAGAGAUAUAUUAGUCUAUUAUAUUUGUGUCUCUGACUCCAUUUCGAUGUCCUUGAUGAUUCUUAAAUUCCAAACUGUAUGUGUUCUCUCUUUCUUUGCACAUUACUUUUUUGGUUAAAUUUCUUUCAUGUCUAUGGGGUGUAUGAAUUCAUUUCAAAUCACUUGCUAGGCCUUUGAUUUAAUAUUGAUUGAUUAAGACUUGAUCUAUAAAUUAAUGGAUCAUCAUCAAUUUUUGUGAACCAAUGAAUCUCUAAUCCAAAGCAUUAAGUGGUACUUAGCUAAUGCAAAUGUGGGGAAUUAUAUUCAGUUAUUUCUCAGAAUUUAAGAGCAAAAUUAGAGUUUUGUAUCAUGAAAAAUCCUAAUGAAUCUAAGAUGCUUUAAUGUUCAUCAGCAUCCAUUACAUAUAUAUACAUUUAGAUUGUAAACUAAAAUGGCUUUUUUCCUCAACAUCUAAUAUCUUUUAAGUCUUUGAAUUUUUUGAUUCUUCUUCCUUGACAUCAUCUGCAAAUUUGAUGUUUUCAAACGGGUUUACUCUUCUUGUUUCUUUUAAUUCCUUACAGCUCAAAAAGCAAGAAAAAGAUGCGAAAAUGGGUAAAUGAAAAAUACAAAAAAGACAUGACUACGAAAUGACUACAUGCAUUUGUUAAAAUGGAAGUUCCAUAGGGACAAAUGAGGCAAACAAGGAAGAUGGGGCAUACUCAAGUUGCAGGACAGCAUGAAGGAUGUCAGAGGUCUACCUAAAGCAUCAAUGGCUGAUCAUGGCAUGCUUUGAGAGCCGACCAAAUAAAACAGCUUUGCCUUGUGCUAUUUUAAUUUUGAAAUAAAAGCUUACAAAAAAGAAAAAGGGUUUCAGCUUGUUCAAUCAGGCCUGCAGGAAACAUUCCCUGUAGAAGAACUGAAACUAACAAAAUUCUUUCUCGCAUUUCCUAAAGGUUUAUUCUUUCUCACAAUUCCUAAAGGUUUUAUCAGGAAAAAAAGAAAAAUCAAUAUUUAACUAGGAUUUCCAGUAGCAGAAUUUGACCUAGGGAAAGAAGAAGAGUUGAUGAACUCAAUACAUUCUGUUAUGGCCUCAGUUCUGUGAGUAUCAAUGGGAGCCACAAGAGGCCUUGGUCUUCCUGCAGAUGAUGGUCUCUUCCACUGUAAAGCUUUUGCCACCUUACUCUCAAGACGCUUGAGAAAGUUCAAGGGUGAAAUUUCUGAUCUUUUUGGUAGUCUGAAUCCACAACAACAUCCGGAAAGCCCUCUGUUCCCAGCAACUUUGUUACCAAUAGAGUUCUGUUUUUGCGAAAUGGCUUUCUUGCUGAUACUUGGAAUAUGGUACUUUUGAUUAUUCUUUUUUGACAUGACUAUAGCUCGUCUCUUUGAUAGA
rnacentral:misc_RNA from 1 species